GUAACCAGACACACCUAAUAUCAGAUGUUGUUUUGUAAACAAAUUUAACCAAACUAUUUUUUAGAAAAAAAAGGGUCAAAUUUUUUAACAAAAAAUGGAUAAAUAAAACGUAAAGAUUAAAAAUAAAUAAAUUAAGAGCGGAUGAUGAGCUAUUUUCUUCAUUUAGCUGCCAAAUCCAGCUUAAAAUUUGUCCUUGCCCAUGCCUAUAUCAAUUUGAGAUGCUGGAAUAAUAAGUAUUUGUUGUAGACGGUAUCUUUGAGGAUGGAAAUAGUUUAUGUUUUUACUAUUAAUUUUUUUUUUUGUAAUGAAAAUCUAAAUAUAAAUAAACUGCAUUUAAAUAUAUACUGUUCAGAUUUGCGCCAAAGUUGUUUUGAUGAAUCAGCUGUUAUCUUACAAAUCAAAUGACUGUACCCCCGAUAUUCGAUAUUUGGCUGAUUUGUGUAAUAUUUUCACCGGAAUUGUAUCAAUUUUGGUAUUAGCAAUGAAUACCACCUCCACUGACAGAAAAUUGCUUAUAUAGGAAUUAUUUCAAAUUUGGAGUUCACAAUGGGUACUACCAUGGUAAAGUAAAAAGGUAAGGUAGAGCUACCGGCUUAUUACAAUUUUUUCUAAGUGUGUCCGACUUCUGCAAAAUUUUGUGUAUGUAUUUGUUGUUUUGAAAAAUAAAAACGAAAUAUUUUUAAAAUCAA